CCCCGGAUAUCUUUUUUCUGGCAUGGUGCUUUCAACUGGGUAUACUGUGUCUCGUAAGAUAUUUGUUUAUUGUGUUUUUUAGGCUGAUUUAGUACUCCUUGAUUGAUCUUAAUAUUAACACUUAUAAAUACAUAUUAUGCACAAAUAAUUAAUUAAGGAUGUUACAAAAUGGCAACAGGUACAGUUAAAUGGUUCAACGAUACUAAAGGUUUCGGCUUCAUCUCUCAGGAUGAUGGUGGCGAUGAUGUAUUCGUACACUUCUCUUCAAUUCAGGGUGACGGCUUCAAGUCUCUGGCUGAAGGUCAGCUCGUUGAGUUUGAUGUUGAGAAUGGCGCAAAAGGCCCACAGGCCUCUAACGUUUUCCCUCAGUAAGGUAAAAACGUUUCGUUCAAACACCCCGCCUGACAGCGGGGUGUUUUUU
rnacentral:sRNA from 1 species